rnacentral:sRNA from 1 species
GUGGGAAAGAUGAGGAUUUCCCCUGCACUGGCUUGUGAGCAAAUAGGAAAUCACAGCUUUAGAAGAAUGAAUCAUUCUUUGCUUCAUGAAGCUUAUGGCAGCUUCAGUGGAGCAAUUGAUUUAGUAUGCAGUCCAUUCUUUCCAAACUCAGGCUCUGAAUUGGUUUUGUCUGAAGAUGAAAAAAGUGACAAUGAAGAUAAGGAAGAGACGGAAUUGGGCGUCAUGGAGGAUCAGCGUAGUAUAAUUCUUCAUCUCAUUUCACAACUCAAACUUGGAAUGGAUUUGACCAAGGUGGUGCUUCCCACCUUUAUCCUGGAGAAGCGAUCUUUGCUGGAGAUGUAUGCAGAUUUUAUGGCGCACCCAGACCUACUGCUGGCCAUCACCGCUGGGGCCACACCAGAGGAGAGAGUCAUUUGCUUCGUGGAGUAUUAUCUCACAGCCUUUCACGAGGGCCGCAAGGGCGCUUUAGCCAAGAAGCCCUACAACCCCAUCAUAGGCGAGACAUUUCACUGCUCCUGGGAAGUUCCCAAGGAUAGGG